rnacentral:rRNA from 1 species
GUGGGGAAUCUUAGACAAUGGGCGCAAGCCUGAUCUAGCCAUGCCGCGUGAGCGAUGAAGGCCUUAGGGUUGUAAAGCUCUUUCAGCUGGGAAGAUAAUGACGGUACCAGCAGAAGAAGCCCCGGCUAACUCCGUGCCAGCAGCCGCGGUAAUACGGAGGGGGCUAGCGUUGUUCGGAAUUACUGGGCGUAAAGCGCGCGUAGGCGGACCAGAAAGUUGGAGGUGAAAUCCCAGGGCUCAACCUUGGAACUGCCUUCAAAACUCCUGGUCUGGAGUUCGAGAGAGGUGAGUGGAAUUCCGAGUGUAGAGGUGAAAUUCGUAGAUAUUCGGAGGAACACCAGUGGCGAAGGCGGCUCACUGGCUCGAUACUGACGCUGAGGUGCGAAAGCGUGGGGAGCAAACAGGAUUAGAUACCCCAGUAGUCC